rnacentral:lncRNA from 1 species
CACUUGAUCUUGCUUAACAACUUUGAUCAAGUAGACACACACUUGAUCUUCCUUCACAACUUUGAUCAAGUAGACACACACUCUUGCUUACAAGCUUAGAGUGACAAUUUACAACCCACAAAUCAGACCAAUUCAAUCAUCUAUGGAUGAAUUGAAUGGCUUACAAGUCUCAUGAAUAAACAAGACACAAACCCUUGCUCUCUCUCAAUAUUU